rnacentral:rRNA from 1 species
CAUACCUAUUCGAAGGGAUAGGGUCGGUUUGGCCGGAUUUCACACAGGUGUUGCAUGGCUGUCGUCAGCUCGUGUCGUGAGAUGUUGGGUUAAGUCCCGCAACGAGCGCAACCCUCAUCCUUAGUUACCAUCAGGUUAUGCUGGGGACUUUAAGGAAACUGCCAGUGAUAAACUGGAGGAAGGUGGGGAUGAUGUCAAGUCAUCAUGGCCCUUAUGGAGUGGGCUACACACGUGCUACAAUGGUGGUUACAAUGGGCUGCAAGGUCGCAAGGCUGAGCUAAUCCUAAAAAAUCAUCUCAGUUCGGAUUGUUCUCUGCAACUCGAGAGCAUGAAGUUGGAAUCGCUAGUAAUCGUGGAUCAGCAUGCCACGGUGAAUACGUUCUCGGGUCUUGUACACACUGCCCGUCACGCCAUGGGAAUUGGUUUCACUCGAAGCU